rnacentral:tRNA from 1 species
UUACUUUGGCAGAAUAGUGCUUUAAACUUAGAAUUUAAAUAUGUAAAAAAAAUUACAAGUAAUAA